UACGAAGGGAGCUAGCGUUGUUCGGAAUCACUGGGCGUAAAGCGCACGUAGGCGGACGUGUCAGUCAGGGGUGAAAUCCCGGAGCUCAACUCCAGAACUGCCUUUGAUACUGACGAUCUCGAGUCCGGGAGAGGUGAGUGGAACUGCGAGUGUAGAGGUGAAAUUCGUAGAUAUUCGCAAGAACACCAGUGGCGAAGGCGGCUCACUGGCCCGGUACUGACGCUGAGGUGCGAAAGCGUGGGGAGCAAACAGG
rnacentral:rRNA from 1 species